UUCUUCUUUCUCUUCUUUUCUUUGGAGUCAGAGUAAAUGUGUCAUGAGCGACGAGUGUCGGGGAGAAGAAGAAGCCGACACAAGAGGAAGGAAGGAGGGGAGACAUUUCGUAUUUCGGGGGUGUCUAAGGCCAGGACCCCUCGUUUUUACGGGUUCUUUGUUUGUAGGGGAAAGGACGACAUUGGAAACCUGGUUGCCUGCCUUCCCCCGGCCUCCCCUACCUCGCCGCCUUGGUACCGCGGGUGCCGCCUCCGUUCUAGUCCUAACCACAGACGCAGUACCUCUUCUUCCACAGCACAAGAGGGUACCUCGUCUAAGAACUCUCCGACGUGCGCAAGCCGCUCAAGCUCUAAUAUUAAAAACCACUGUUUCAUUAAGAUCUUCUAGGGUAGCUUUCAACCGGAAAUACACUGACAGAUUAGCGGAAAAUAAGUCGACCGAUGGGUAAUCUUUUCCGCCUCUUUAUACGACAAGAUGCGUCCGGAAAAAACCAGUUACUCAACCUGGGUGUUAUGGACGAAGUACUGGCGUCGUUUCAUAUACUCGUGGAAUUUAACAAGCCACAAGGCCAGGGAUGAAUACGACAACAGUCUUCUCUCGUAGGAUUAGUUCUCAAUUCGAUGAAAUAGCUCGUUCUACUAAAAUAACUCUAAGUACCUUUCGCAAAAACGUUCGGAAAGCACCUCUUUGGGUAGCUACCUCUACUGGUAUUAUAUUACUAUAUAAUAGGAUCGAUACGACCACCUCCUUACUUUCUUGACAAGGCAUUCCAACCGUUAUCUAGAUCACUUAAAAUAGGUCUUCAAUCCUUUCACUCCGCUCUACCUAGAAUGUAAAUACUCCUCAAGUACGGAUGUCCUCCUUGUCUACAGUUCCAAAUAUGUUAACCUGGUCCUAUACGUGUACGACUUCGAGCAUUUAGGGGUCAACAUCUACCCCAACAGUACUCUUUAAGACUACCUUUUCUCCAGGCGAUAGGACAAAAUGACUGGGGAUGACUCUUUGUUUAACGUGCCUUACAAACGGUUCGGAAGUCUGUUCGCCAUACACCGAAACUAGAAGAUUCCACACUGGACCCCCUCCGUUCUAGAAUACAUACACUACACUUACCGACCUCAAAACACUUUUCGAGUAUGUUCAUGAUACUACUGCGACGUACGUAAGACUCCUUUUACAAAGAACUACUCUUUAGAGGUGUAUAAAUAUGGUAAGGACGAGUAGAAGGUACCUCUUAGUCACUCGGUCGCGUUGGUAGUCUACGACAUUCUUUAGCUCUUGCCCCUUGACACCCGUAUGGAUGCGUCAGUCUUCUCAACGCGACACAGUAUCGACAAUAUGCGGUACCCCUAGCGUGUGGUUUCGUCUUCCACUUCGACUUUCAUUGAGUUCUCUUCGAAAAUUUUAACUACGACUUUAUGUUACCGCCUUUCCGGGUACGCCUCCGCUUCGAAUUUUCACGAAACGUUGACGUUCUAGACAAUCUACGUUGUUCUUAGGAACAUGGUGCACGAUCCAGACCGGCACUUUCACUAUCACUACGACUUCAGCUCGUACGUCUCUUCGAUGCCGUUCAAUCUCGCCAAGAACUUCUCCCACCUGUGAAAAGUCCAUAAAUAUCCUUUCAUGUCGAUUUUGGUAGUUUGACCCGGGUAUAAGGAUUUUCAUCACCUCUUCCCCUCCUCCUCCAAGGUUCGCUUCGGGAUUACUAAGAGUUCAUACCACCACAAGAUUGGGUACGUCCUUCUUUCGUCCGUCUUCUCAACCCUUCUAUAAAGUCUUUAUUAUACAUAGGUUCACUUCCUGGUCCUAACGAAGCGGACGUGUCAUGUAUAUCCGUACUAGACUUUUAUAUAUCAAGUCUACUUCCAGCACAGGUCUACAGACGGCGCCGAAAGCGUUUCCCAGAAGAACUAAACCUUCCCCUGAAUUGCGGUUAGGACCAAAGUGAUCACUCAUUCCUGAGCAGAUACGAACUACCUGACGUCCUACCAUGAUAACUCUAUUCACUUCGUUUCCGAGUCAACGUACUAUAAUAGUAGAGAAGUUUUCAACGUUUACCACCACUAGGACGACCCAAAGGUACCUACCAACUACCCCGACUACACAGAUGUUUACGACGAGUCGAAGAUUGUCUAAACCGACUCAAUUGUUUUCUUUAUUGAAGUGUUCACUUCGCCGAGAGACUACUACUUUUACUCCUCCAACGUUGGCUAUCACUGAGUGGAUUAGUAGGAAUACUAGUUCGUUUCCGUGAUACCUCUUGUCUUUAACUGUACCUGGCGUAACGACGACCUAACGGAACACCGUCGCUUUCGAAGGAAAACUACAAACGGGCAACCUUCUUUGAUCUCUCCCUAGAGAUGUUACUUUCCUUUUUCGCGAAACUAUGAUGUGUCUAAGGACUAUAUAUACUGAGAACGUUCAUACUGGAAGACGUAUUGAGUGUAGAGUUAGAAUUACCAAACGUACUAGAGAAGUUUCAUAGAGUCAACGAUCGACUACCACAGUAAGGUUUACUCAUGCCCUAUUUAGGCUUUGUUUCUGAGUUUUAUCCAAGUUUCUAUCGUGCGGCAAAUAACCCGUUCUAAGACUAACUGGACGUGUUGUGGUCUGCUCUCUAAUGGCUCCAUCGACGACUUAGAUCAUGUGCUGAACUAGGUUAUCAUCAUAGAAGAUGUUUUGCUUUCCUCUCCACAAUGGUACUACCACAAUCCUUACUCUCAAGACUUCCUAGAUCGUGUCUGCUCUUCAGUCAACUAGAUCUAAGGGUACUUCUUUGUUUUAUGACGAAUCUAGGCUUUAUACGUUUACACUACCUAGGGCUCUCUGCACAAGCUUGUUCCGAGAUAAAAUGUAGCCUUAGCGUAUAUGUAAGAGAUUACUUGCAUGAAGCUAUGACGAUAAACCUGCUCAGAGACUUACCUCUUCUCUCAGAAUAGACGUUUUUACGAAGUCUAGUAGAUAAAUUUUGUUUCCUUGAACUGAUGUACUCAAUGUAACACAACGCAUACAAACUCUUAUGCCUCCACGGAAACCUUCUAGGUUUCUCCAAGGCAUAUCUCUACUGUAUAUCAGCACCGCGUCUAUAUUCGACGAAUCUCUCACGUUGAUUGUGUCUAACAAAAGAUGGACUACUGGUGUGUUACGUUUAAUACCUUGGCCUCGCUAACGUUCUUCAACCAAGUAUAGACUGGAAUCUGUUUAAACUAUUUUACUGGGCGGGCAAACGUUACGGUCGACUUCUAAAGGGGGGUCGAUGAGGAAGAGUCACAAACCGUCAGGCGAAGACACUUCUAUAACUUAACGUUCCUCGUUCUGACGUUGUAAUCACUCUGUACGACUCACCAUGGGGUUUUCCUUCAGUUCUUCGAAGUUCUUAUCGUGUAUUAACGAGUCAAGUCGACGUUACACAAGACUCAGUCAUUUCAGUGGUAAUUACCUUUUCGAGUUCAUUCACCACAUGGUUGUCUAACUUCAACUAUUUCGUGGGUUGAUAAUGGUUCUACUCCGUUCGGUAAGUCACUUUACGACAGUUCCAGGUUACUGUAGUACGACGUGUUUCUUAGAGCGGGUGUGACCUUUCUUUGGACGAGUAAAGGGUCUAUUAUUACACAUUUAUUAUCGAACACACAUAUCCGGUUGAUAAACUAUGGUAAAGAAGGUACUAUGUACCUCAUGUUUACUACACGGGAAAUUAAAAAAAAGUAGAAAACUUGCUACAAUCUUCGUUUAAAGACGAUGUGUCAUGCUGUAUCCAAGUUACUACUUCUGUUCGUUAAGC
rnacentral:rRNA from 1 species